UUUUCGCUUUCCAAAUAAGGCGUGCGCGCUCCCGCGGCAGGGGAGAACCGCGGCUGGUUCUUCCAGCUUGGCUGCGCGCGGGGCAUUGUGGGUCUUGUACGUGCACGCACGCAGGCUGGCAGGCGCGGGCGCGCACGCAACAACUAAAUUUGUCUUCAUAACAAGCAAGCAGGGCUGUGGACAGUAUUAUACGCGCAUUCUCAGCAGCAUGAUGAAAAUAAAAUGGAAAAUAUUUUUUUUAUUGUUGGACUCGGUGGACUCGGUCAAAAUCAGCACCGAGACAACAGACUUCCUCGCCAACAGAAAGCAGAAUGUGAGGUUACAUCGCUGUGAGUCUGACGUGGUGCACUGCAGCAAAGGUGUCCCCCAGGAAGUUCUCCGACGACACGGCCAUUGUUGGAUAUGUUUCGGAGGGGAACGAUCUGGAAUACAGGACGGUCAUCAAGGACUUUGUCAGGUGGUGCGAGCUCAACUUCAGCUGAACACCAUGCAGCCAGACGGAGAUGAUUGUGAGCUUCAGGAGGACAGCACCCUAUACUUCACUUUUUUCUUCAACUUGGCAAUUAUUCUUUAUAAAAAUGUCCAGUUUUUUUUAUAGGGCAACUUCGGUUUUUUUUUUCUCGGCGCGCCGCACCUUCGGCCCGCCCUCUCGGCGUCAUCUCGGCGCGGCGCCUAGAGGGCGGGCCGAGGGUGCGCCGCGGCAGGAGGGCGCCGCCGCAGGAGGGCGCUUAGUUGCUCCGAGGGGGCGCUGCGUCGCACCGAGAGGGCGCCGUACCAGGCCGAAAGGGAGCCGCUCUGCGCUGUGAUGGUGGGCCUAUAGUGUUCGCUGCCCCGAGAGGGCGGAGGGUGCUACGAAGGCGCGGCGAGAGCGCGCUGCAUGUACCACGGUGCGGUGCCCUCUAGGCGCGGCGCGCUGCCGUGCAGCGCUCACUCGGCGCGGCGUCCUCUCGGCGCGGCGCCCUCUCGGCAUAGCUGCGCGCGCUCUCUCGGUGCGGGGCGCUCUCGGCGUGCUCACCCACUGAAAAAGAUACACAUUUGCUGUUUUGAUGCCUUUUCAUUUAUCUUAUAGUUCCUUUGAUCUGCAGACAACAUAUGGUUUUGACCGAGAUGAUCAAUAUGUGAUGCCUGUUUUUGUACAGGAAAUGAUCUCUGCAUGGUAAUAUUUUUUUUUCCUUCAACUUGACAAUUAUAUUUAUAAAACAUUUCAA